UGGCAUAAAUAAAUGUAUAUUUACACGUCUCAGGUACUUGUAUAUACAGCAUCUUUAUGUUUAUAAACACAAGCUGUUAAUUACUGUCAAAAUCACUAAUUUGCUUGGCAUCAUUUGCCAACUACCAAGCCACAUAUGACUUUGCUAUAGUUUAUGACUCAGUUCCUCUGGACCUUUGGGGGCUGUGGUAUCUUGUCUAUUUUCAUGCACCUUGCUACUGCUGUUCUCUCUCAGAUUUGCAUGUCUGCUAACAAUAAAAACACGUGGAAGAAAUAGGGUAAGUAGGCUGAAAUCCACAAAGACAAAAAGGGCUCUCAUUUAGCAGAGGAACUUUGUUGGAAAUUACCUGUGCUUAUUCCCAUCUCACCAUUGAGACUGACGAGGAAAGCAAUCCCAAAGCAGGACUCCUGCUCCUCAUCGUACGAUGAGGCUGAACAAAUUGAAGAUUUUGCUUUUUUUUGGUCUUAAACUUGUGAACGUUUGUGUAGGAAACUUAGGGGAUAAGACAGGCGCACUGGGAGGCUCUCGUUAGUUCAAGAAGAGGAAAUUCUCACAGGAAACUUGCAGCACUUGAGAAAGGUCACGAAGCUGCUGGCAGCUGCAUGCAGGAAGAGAAAAUCAACUCAUUUUGAACUUGAAAGCAAAACUUGAUUUCAAAUGAGGACAAAAUCAGCAGUGGAUUGGCCAAGCUUACAGCUCGUGACCCAUGCAGUUUGUUUAUUUAAAAGUUGGUAUGUAGGAGGGAAAGCAUGGGGAGAGAGAUGUUUUCUGGAGGUUUUCUUUUUGAAGUAAUACAAGAAGCUUCUCCACGCGUUGUGUGUUCAUGAAAUAGAUGUUUGUGAGAUGAGGGCUGCAGGGGGAAGGAAGGUGAGACUGCAGUGAGGGUGGUUCGACACUGGCUUCGGUGCCCUGAGCGUUGAGUUUCUGGAUACCCUGAGGGGAAAGGUUCUGCAGCUCCACCCUACCCCCUGCCCAAGCCUUUGUGAAGUGACUACGGCUUGUUUAAAGACGUAUUAUUGUGUCAGGGCACCGAGUUUGCACUGAGAAAAAAAAGACUUCAAAUGAGGAAAUGCUUUAAAACCCCGGCUCUGAAGCAAGGCUGAAGGAUGCAGUAAGAAUCCCUUGGCGUCUGUUCAGCCUGGCCUGACAGCUAUAUGGCUUUUUUUGGCCACGGGCAGCUGCUCUGCUGUUCCAUCUGGGAGCUUGAAUAAGAUGGUGAGAGGCAUGAGGAAAGUAGGAGCACCACAGAAAGGAGACUGAACAUCAGCACCAUGUUGAAUAAAGCCACUGUUUGACAUCUGUGCUCAAA